UUUUGUUGAUUACUUCCAUGACUAAUGCAAUUUUUUCUGCUCUUUUAUUUGGAAUACAGAGUACGUCACUGAAAUAAUAUUUAAUCCGAGGGAAGCUAUUAGAUUAGCAGUUGAUUCAUCUGUGUCUUAUCUGUCAGGAAUAUUUAGUGCCAGUGGAGAUUCAGGAGUCACUGAAAUUGUGAAAUAUGGUGGCACUGCAUUGGAUGAGGCUACAGAAUGGAUCAGAACCCCAGUGAGCUACUUAUUCCACUUAUUUGAAGACAUCUUGGAUGUAGCAAUCAUUUAUCCAGGGGACAUUGCCACUGAAGCAGUUCUGCAAAUUUUAAGUGGGAUCAAGACCAUUUCUUCAACCAUAUUUGGGUACCUUGAAGCUUGGUUUCCCAAAAUGAGCACUGAUCCCGCAGAACUGGCUGAAAUUGUUGUAGAGGACGCCACAGACAUAAAGACCACUGUCUCUAAUUACCUAACCAGUCUGUUUGCAGUGGAUGAAGGUGGUAUUCCUGACAUUAGCUUUGAUCCCAUGAAAGUUGUCACAGACACUGUUGAGGAGUUUGAUGACAGGAGGGAUAUGCUCUUGGUCUAUCUCUCAAACAUGCUCAUGGAAGACAAAGACGACACACCGCAAGUGAUAAGACGAAAAGGUUUGUGUCAAUAUUCAUUCACUCACUACUCAAUACCUCUGUUAAUAUAUAAUAUAAUAU
rnacentral:lncRNA from 1 species